rnacentral:misc_RNA from 1 species
UCUCCGCUGGUGAACCAGCGGAGGGAUCAUUACAGGAUCGAAAGACUCCUAUAACCCCUGUGAACUUACUACAAAUACGUUGCUUCGGCGGGUGCCCCGGGUCUCCCGGGGCGUUCAGCCCGCCGGCAGCCUUCAAAUUCUGUUUCUUUGCGUUGGCAUCUCGAGUUUACAAAAAUAAGUUAAAACUUUCAACAACGGAUCUCUUGGUUCUG